rnacentral:rRNA from 1 species
AUACCGGCCAGAGACCGAUAGCGCACAAGUAGAGUGAUCGAAAGAUGAAAAGCACUUUGAAAAGAGGGUUAAAUAGUACGUGAAAUUGUUGAAAGGGAAGGAUUUAUGACCAGACCUUUGCCUUGCGGAUCAUCCGGUGUUCUCACCGGUGCACUUCGCUUGGUUGAGGCCAGCAUCAGUUUUGGCGGCGGGAUAAAGACUUCAGGAACGUGACUCCCCCGGGAGUGUUAUAGCCUGCUGUGUAAUACCGCCGCUGGGACUGAGGACCGCGCUUCGGCUAGGAUGCUGGCAUAAUGGCCAUCAAUCACCCGUCUUGAAACACGGACC